UACGUAGGGUGCGAGCGUUGUCCGGAAUUAUUGGGCGUAAAGAGCUCGUAGGUGGUUUGUCGCGUUGUCCGUGAAAACUCACAACUCAAUUGUGGGCGUGCGGGCGAUACGGGCAGACUGGAGUACUGCAGGGGAGACUGGAAUUCCUGGUGUAGCGGUGGAAUGCGCAGAUAUCAGGAGGAACACCCGUAGCGAAGGCGGCACUCUGGGCCGAUACUGACACUGAGGGAGCGAAAGCGUGGGGAGCGAACAGGA
rnacentral:rRNA from 1 species